rnacentral:rRNA from 1 species
CUACGGGACGCUGCAGUGGGGAAUAUUGGGCAAUGGGCGCAAGCCUGACCCAGCAACGCCGCGUGAGGGAAGAAUGUCUUCGGAUUGUAAACCUCUGUCCUUGGGGACGAAGAAAAUGACGGUACCCAAGGAGGAAGCUCCGGCUAACUACGUGCCAGCAGCCGCGGUAAUACGUAGGGAGCAAGCGUUGUCCGGAAUUAUUGGGCGUAAAGGGUGCGUAGGCGGCGCUGUAAGUCAGAUGUGAAAUCCCCGGGCUUAACUCGGGAGUUGCAUUUGAAACUACAGUGCUUGAGUAAAGAAGGGGUAAGUGGAAUUCCUAGUGUAGCGGUGGAAUGCGUAGAUAUUAGGAGGAACACCAGUGGCGAAGGCGACUUACUGGUCUUUUACUGACGCUGAGGCACGAAAGCGUGGGGAGCAAACAGGAUUAGAUACCCCCGUAGUC